rnacentral:tRNA from 1 species
GUGGCCGUAGCUCAAUGGUAGAGCGUCUGGCUGUGGCCCAGAAGGCUGCGGGUUCGAUCCCCGUCGGUCACCCACCA